rnacentral:rRNA from 1 species
AUACGGAGGGUGCAAGCGUUACUCGGAAUCACUGGGCGUAAAGCGCGCGCAGGCGGGCUGAUAAGUUGGAUGUGAAAGCCUACGGCUCAACCGUAGAACUGCAUCCAAAACUGUCAGUCUAGAGUCUGGGAGGGGAAGAUGGAAUUAGUUGUGUAGGGGUAAAAUCCGUAGAGAUAACUAGGAAUACCAAAAGCGAAGGCGAUCUUCUGGAACAGUACUGACGCUGAGGCGCGAAAGCGUGGGAGCAAACAGGAUUAGAUACCCCUGUAGUCC